rnacentral:rRNA from 1 species
UACAGAGGUCUCAAGCGUUGUUCGGAAUCACUGGGCGUAAAGGGUGCGUAGGCCGCACGGUAAGUCAGAUGUGAAAUCUCAGGGCUCAACUCUGAAAUUGCAUCCGAUACUGCCGUGCUUGAGGACUGGAGAGGAGUCUGGAAUUCAUGGUGGAGCAGUGAAAUGCGUAGAUAUCAUGAGGAACGCUUGUGGCGUAGGCGAGACUCUGGACAGUUCCUGACGCUGAGGCACGAAGGCCAGGGGAGCAAACGGG